CACGUAGGGGGCGAGCGUUGUCCGGAUUUAUUGGGCGUAAAGAGCUCGUAGGCGGCUCGGUAAGUCAACUGUGAAAGCUCCGGGCUCAACUCGGAGAGGCCAGUUGAUACUGCCGUGGCUAGAGUCCGGUAGGGGAGCGUGGAAUUCCUGGUGUAGCGGUGAAAUGCGCAGAUAUCAGGAGGAACACCAGCGGCGAAGGCGGCGCUCUGGGCCGGAACUGACGCUGAGGAGCGAAAGCGUGGGUAGCAAACAGG
rnacentral:rRNA from 1 species